UACGGAGGGUGCGAGCGUUGUCCGGAAUCACUGGGCGUAAAGGGCGCGUAGGUGGCCGAGCAAGGUCGCGGUGAAAGCCCGGGGCUCAACCCCGGGUCGGCCGUGGCAACUACUCGGCUCGAGCACUGUAGGGGCGGGUGGAAUUCCGGGUGUAGCGGUGGAAUGCGUAGAGAUCCGGAAGAACACCAACGGCGAAAGCACUCUGCUGGGCCGAAACUGACACUGAGAGACGAAAGCUAGGGGAGCAAAUGGG
rnacentral:rRNA from 1 species